AGAGAAGCCAUUCGCCUCCUGGGGCCUCCAUGGAGUGAAUGCCUUUAAGAUGACAAGAGCUGGGAUGUAGGAGGAAGGUCAUUUUCUCUCCAAUCUCACACUAAGAAAACGACUAUACAUCCAGGUUAUUCUGAACCUUGGAAAAAAACAGAUUGCUCUCUGCUGGAUAAGUGGUGGCCAAGAGAACCACGUGUGCUGGUGGAAAAGCGCUGGACCUGCUGCCCAGCACCACAGCCGACAGCAGCAAAUGGCCAUUGAACACUUCAAAAUGCGGGGACUCUCGCCCAUUUCCCACAGACCUAUAUACCCCGCCUGCAAACCUGACGGAAAGGCCCACACACCACACCAGAGAGAUGUGGAGGGACGGAGCAUUCAUCAUAGACAGCAUUGGAGCCCCCGUCCCGGAACCCUGAGCAUGCCUGCAGGUUAUCAGUGGAUGCCUCACCUUAGAAAAGUCCCGUAAAACUGAGGAAGAUUGUGGGAGGUAUCCUUGGGGGUCAUCUAGACCAGCACUCCAGCCUGCCCCAAAUCUACAGAUCAAAAAAGCAAAGUCCAGAGAAGUAACGUCUCAAGGUCACAUAAGUCAGUCCCUAUCAACAACAGCACUAAAAUCAAGGCUUCCUAAAACCAGUCGGAUCAUUGUUCCAUUAUAGCAUAUGGCUUUUCUUCUGGAAAAAUGUCCAACUGUAGCAGACAGAAAGGAAGCCAAGAGAGGGUGUUUACAGCAAGGAGGGGCUAUGAAAUAUCUUCACUCCAGGUUCUUUAUGAGCUGCAGUGUAUCAUUUUUAUCAGCAAUUGGAAGCAUGCUGCAUGUUUGACUCUGUGGACUCCUGCUUUACACAACAGAACAUUCCGAUGGUGUGCAUGUGCCAUACCCUGCCGUAACAAAUCUCAGCUGGUCCUCUGCUGUCCUCUGGGGAGAAUGCAUUUGAACUCAUCUCAAAAAGCUGGUUUUCUACCCUGGAGGUCUCCGAUGGCUACUGCGAGAAGAAAGCCAUGUCCCGAAAGCAGUGAUACAGAUUGGCAGCCACUGCAGAGAUGCAGAAUGUCGAAGAGUGUGUGUGUUGGAAUUCCUGGACAGACACUGCUCUGAAAGAAAAACCCUCUGGUUUUGGAAGUCUGGCUGGGCAAGGCAGGCGGAGGUCAUGGAGGGGCCGGCGUGAUGGAAUCCUCGGUGCAGCUGACUGCGCAGCCCGACACUGGCGUGGACACUGGGACGCGUCAUGCAACAUCCAACCAGAGCACACUCACGAGGACAAACAUGGGCCCACCUAUUUACCAUCAGAAAAACAAAAUCAUGCUCUUUCACUUUGAAAGAAGGGGGAAACUGGAAAGUUAUUAUUUGAAAUAAAAUGGAAUUUUAG
rnacentral:lncRNA from 1 species